UCUUAAUGUUGAUGUUAAUAUUUGAGACAAAAAUUUAACUACAAGUCAAUGGUUGAUUUAAUCAACAGAGGGAAACGCGUUAAUUUAAUCAAAGAGGAAAUGUCAACCAUGUUUAUGCUGAUAAUCAAAUAACGACAAUUUAAAGUCAAAUGCUGUUGACUGACAACCAAAAAGUACAUUCUAAAUGAUGCCAAUCAUUGGUGAUGGUAAUGAUGAGGCUGAUGAUCUGCAAUAACUUAUAUGUUUCAUCAUGGUGAAAAAAAUUUGACGAGAGAAGCAAAAAAAAUGAGAAAUUUUUUGCAUCUCCAUCUUUCUCUUUCUUGAAAACCUAUUCGUCAAGUUGGUUAAAGAUUUGAAGAUGUCUCUUGGCUCUUGUAAUAUAUUCAAAAUGAUGAUGAUAACCAUAAAGAUUUGGCUAACUGAGCUACAAUCAAUGAACAAGCUUAACUGUGAAAGCCAGAAAAUACCAAGAAAGUACAUUUUUUUGUCAAUUUUUUGUGAUUCUUUGAGGCUCAAGAUCAAAAAGCUGGAUUCAAGGGAAACCUCAAGCAGUCAUUUUUGCGGGUUAACAAGAAACAAACAAAAAACUGGUAAAUUUAGAUUCAAAUUAAAGCUGUUGAAAUGGUAUUUUCAUCACUGGAUUCAUUGAAUAUUGAUUAGAUAUCUUUGACAUUGAGGCAUAACUUCAAGAGGAUAUUGGACGCUUCAAGCUUCUUUUAUCCUGGAACCUAUCGACUUACCUGAUACCCUGAAUAACGAUGAUUGAAUCUAUCUCACCGUUAAGCUCAACAGUCAAAUAAAGCAUCCAAUUGAUGCUUUAAUUUGGUUUUGAUUCCUGUUGCAUUACAUAAGACAGUUUAUUGUCAGAUUUAAACAUCUUUCCAUGUUUACCAUCCUUAAUAACCUUUCAAGGUGAUGUUCAUUAUCAUCAUCACUUGCAAUCAUUUACCUGUACAUCUUUUUGUGUAUAUGUUGAUGUUGAUGAGAAGGAAGAAGAAAAUAAGAGUUUUCUUUCUUUCUCAAUGGUAUUUUUCAUGACUAUGAUCAACAUAAGUGCCGUAAUAAUAACAUAUAUAUAGCCACACAAUAGAUUAAAAGUAAUAGAAUGAUAAUGAUGAUGAACAUGGAGGUAAGAUUAUUUUCGUGAUGGGAAAAGAUGAUGAUAAAGCUGGAUAAAGAGAAGAGAAAUAUUUUCUUAAGAAGUUGUCUAACUUGUUAACAACAGUGAAUCAAAGUUAACAGAGAAACCUGUUAACCUAAGGAAAAAAAAUGUGAACAUAAUUUGACCCUAAAUAUUGAUGAUAACAAGUUUUGGCCAUCAUCUUCAUCUCUGUGUAUUAACUUUCAUCUGGAUAAUGACCAUCUUAAAUAUCUAAAAAUUGAUUGAUAUUUUAUCAUCAGAAGCAUCAUCAACAACAACCGAACCACCAACAAAAGCAACAACCAGACAACCAUGUUUUGGCAUUUAAACGCAAAGAAAAGAUGAAAUACGAUGAGAUUUACAAACCAAUUUUUCCCUCUCAUGGUAAAAUAAACAUGGCAAUAUCUUGAAUUACAGCUAAUAACCCAAAAAAUGAUUUACAACAGAUUGAAUUAAUCUAUCCAGUUAUUAGACUAAUUAGCUUUUCCAAUCACAAUUUCCAGUUUCCAGUGCCAAUAAAAGUAUUAACCUUAAACCUUGGGAUGCAACUUUAACCUUAUUUGUGUUGUUAUCUGUAAUAAACAUUGCAAAGUCCAUCUAAAAUGCCCAUUUUAAGGUGACUUACAUAAGAUUCAAGUUGAUUAUGUCAAAGCAUGGAGAGGAAAAGAUGAUUUAUUGAUGCUAAAAGCAAAUCAAGUUGAAUCAAUUGGAUUGUUAAUGUUUUUUUGAGGUUUGCGUGGACAAAAUUGGCAAAAUUUUACAACCAAACAAAGGGUCAAUGAGAAGGCAAAAAUAUCUCCAAAACAUGAUGAUGAUGAUACAUAUAAGGUCUUUGCCUUUCACUCACAAUACAAUGUAAACAUGUUCAAUGGUCAACUCACUGCAUACCUGUUAACCAUAACUGUGCCCAUAAUUGUGCUUCUAACUGUAAUCUAAUGUAAUCACAGUGAAUUGGAUUGUUUGGGAAAAGCAAAAAAAGCUUCCGGACUUGAAUAUAUUGAAUCUUAAAUGGGUUUAUUAUGUUGAUCAAAAACCAUUUGUUCAUCUUGUUACUUUGCCUUGUAAACCUUUUUUAAAUGUCUUCAAUGUGUCCAACUGUGAUUUAAUCAAUCGCCUACUCAAUUAAAUCUAAUUACAAAACUAAUUGACACAAACAGUAGUAAAAAAAGUGAACCCAAAUUAGCAUUAUAAAGCGAUAAACAUCAAGACCUGAGUUGUCAGUGAAUCGUUUUGUAUCAUCAAAGAAAUGUGAAUUUACAAAUUGGAAAUAUUGAUUAGCUUGAAAAAUCAUUAAUACUCAACGUCUCAAUACAACUGUUCAGUGACAUUGCUUUUAAUCCUGUAAACUGGUUAACUUUGGGUUAACCGUUACUGGCCAUCAGGAAGUUGCUCGCAAUCAAAAUGGUAAAAUUUGAUUAAUAAUCAAUUUUCAAUUGUGAAGUCAAUUUGAAAUUUUAUAUCUUGAAUGGGAAAACAAUACCAACAAUGAUUAACCAUUUAUCGUUCAUGUUUAAACAUCAUUUUACUGGUUUGAAUUAACACUGAGUUUUUCCACCAUUAAACAUAUUAAUGGAAACAA